CAUCAUCCUCAUUCCAAAGCUGCCCAGAGCAGGGGAUGCUGCAGGCAAUGUUUGCCCAGAGUCUGAUUUUGUGCAGCGCUGGCCGUGGGCCAGGCCUCAGAGUUUCCUGAAGUGUUCUGCGAGUUACCGGGGGAGACGGAGCUUUGAACUUGCCUGCUAUAACACGGGCUGGUUCCCAGGAUCAUAAACAUGUUUCUGAACCUAAUUAAAGAGCCUCGUGAAAAGGGCGCGAGCAGGACUGAGACACGACGGUCGGUGUAAAACCGGCCCGUGGGCCAGAACGGGAGCGCGGCUGUUCCCAGACUCGGGAGGACGGAGAGUUAAGAGCUUUAGCGAGAAGAAAAGGCUCUUUUACAGUCCUGGCUGGGGACCUGGGCUGUACCGGAGAGGGAAUGUAGGAGGCAUAAUUGAGGCUUGUAAAACAUUUCCAGACAAAAUCGCUUAAUGUGUUUUGGAGAGUAAAAAGCAACAGUGCACAUAAUCCAUAAAUUUGGGCAGCUUUCUGCAGAGUCAAUAGAGCCGGAUCCAGGCGAUCAGGAGGACGGCCAGACCAGCGCGUGCUGGGCGCGACGGCUGCAGGUGGACUGGGCCCAGCGUGCGAGACCCUGGAGCGGCAGCGGAUUGGCUUUGGAUUCUCGCUCCGCCCCCUCUCUCAACGGGCGAGCUGGGACAGGUUCUUUAACCUGCUGGAGUUCUGCUAACUCACCUGGAAAGUGAAGGAGAAAUAGCACCUACCUUGUGCACGGCUCACUCCCCACCAGGAGCCGGAAGAUAGCAUUAACUGCACCAUCCCGAGAAAGCGCUGGGUGUAUCUUUCAUUCGGACAACUAGAGAACCCAGGCUGGCAGAAGGAGCAAAAAUAUCGAUUUUCCUUCAGCGUUUGUGUGCAGACUAUGAAAUUCCCUCCUUCACUCGCAGGCCUUCCUUGCUCUCUGCUCUGGCUUCUCACAGCCCAGCACAAGCCUCAGUGGAUGGCCUAAGGACCUGUGGAGGGCUGGUGUUUGACCUAGUGGUGAAGAUUCUGCCUGGGAUGCCUGCCUCCCAUAUCAGAGUCCCUGGGUUCGAGUCCUGGCUCCCCUCUCCAGUCCAGAUUCCUGCUGAUGCGCACCCUGGAAGGCAGCAGGUGAUGGCCCGAGUACCCACGUGGGAGACCCAGACUGAGCUCCUGGCUCCCGACUUCAGCCUGGCCCAGCCCUGGCUGCAGCAGGCAUUUGAGGAGUGAACCAGUGGAUAGAAGAAGUCUGUGUCUGUCUCUCUCUGCUUUCAAAUAAAUUAA